AGUGAACGCUGGCGGUAGGCCUAACACAUGCAAGUCGAACGGCAGCACAAUAAGAGCUUGCUCUUACGGGUGGCGAGUGGCGGACGAGUGAGGAAUACAUCGGAAUCUACUUUUUCGUGGGGGAUAACGUAGGGAAACUUACGCUAAUACCGCAUACGACCUACGGGUGAAAGCAGGGGAUCUUCGGACCUUGCGCGAUUGAAUGAGCCGAUGUCGGAUUAGCUAGUUGGCGGGGUAAAGGCCCACCAAGGCGACGAUCCGUAGCUGGUCUGAGAGGAUGAUCAGCCACACUGGAACUGAGACACGGUCCAGACUCCUACGGGAGGCAGCAGUGGGGAAUAUUGGACAAUGGGCGCAAGCCUGAUCCAGCCAUACCGCGUGGGUGAAGAAGGCCUUCGGGUUGUAAAGCCCUUUUGUUGGGAAAGAAAAGCAGCAGGUUAAUACCCCGCUGUUCUGACGGUACCCAAAGAAUAAGCACCGGCUAACUUCGUG
rnacentral:rRNA from 1 species